rnacentral:rRNA from 1 species
ACACUCCUGCGGGAGGCAGCAGUGGGGAAUAUUGCACAAUGGGCGCAAGCCUGAUGCAGCCAUGCCGCGUGUAUGAAGAAGGCCUUCGGGUUGUAAAGUACUUUCAGCGGGGAGGAAGGCGAUAAGGUUAAUAACCUUGUUGAUUGACGUUACCCGCAGAAGAAGCACCGGCUAACUCCGUGCCAGCAGCCGCGGUAAUACGGAGGGUGCAAGCGUUAAUCGGAAUUACUGGGCGUAAAGCGCACGCAGGCGGUCUGUCAAGUCGGAUGUGAAAUCCCCGGGCUCAACCUGGGAACUGCAUUCGAAACUGGCAGGCUAGAGUCUUGUAGAGGGGGGUAGAAUUCCAGGUGUAGCGGUGAAAUGCGUAGAGAUCUGGAGGAAUACCGGUGGCGAAGGCGGCCCCCUGGACAAAGACUGACGCUCAGGUGCGAAAGCGUGGGGAGCAAACAGGAUUAGAAACCCUUGUAGUCCC